UUGGCAAAACUUAAUUCCGGAUUUGGUUCACCUUUUGGCUAUCAAACACGGCCAGACAUUUUGCCAGAGCAAACCCCAGGCCUUGGCGUCUUCAGUAGUUGCCCCAAAAUGGCCUCUGUCUGAACAUGCCAUUGCCACACUC
rnacentral:snoRNA from 1 species